GUCCACGCCGUAAACGAUGUAUACUAGCUGUUGGGGGCAACCUCAGUGGCUAAGCGAAAGUGAUAAGUAUCCCACCUGGGGAGUACGUUCGCAAGAAUGAAACUCAAAGGAAUUGACGGGGGCCCGCACAAGCGGUGGAGCAUGUGGUUUAAUUCGAUGAUACGCGAGGAACCUUACCAAGGCUUAAAUGUAGAUUGACCGGUUUUGAAACAGACUUUUCGCAAGACAAUUUACAAGGUGCUGCAUGGUUGUCGU
rnacentral:rRNA from 1 species